rnacentral:rRNA from 1 species
CCUUCGGGGGACGAUAACGGCGUCGAGCGGCGUACGGGUGAGUAAUGCCUAGGAAAUUGCCCUGAUGUGGGGGAUAACCAUUGGAAACGAUGGCUAAUACCGCAUGAUGCCUACGGGCCAAAGAGGGGGACCUUCGGGCCUCUCGCGUCAGGAUAUGCCUAGGUGGGAUUAGCUAGUUGGUGAGGUAAGGGCUCACCAAGGCGACGAUCCCUAGCUGGUCUGAGAGGAUGAUCAGCCACACUGGAACUGAGACACGGUCCAGACUCCUACGGGAGGCAGCAGUGGGGAAUAUUGCACAAUGGGCGCAAGCCUGAUGCAGCCAUGCCGCGUGUGUGAAGAAGGCCUUCGGGUUGUAAAGCACUUUCAGUCGUGAGGAAGGUAGUGUAGUUAAUAGCUGCAUUAUUUGACGUUAGCGACAGAAGAAGCACCGGCUAACUCCGUGCCAGCAGCCGCGGUAAUACGGAGGGUGCGAGCGUUAAUCGGAAUUACUGGGCGUAAAGCGCAUGCAGGUGGUUUGUUAAGUCAGAUGUGAAAGCCCGGGGCUCAACCUCGGAAUUGCAUUUGAAACUGGCAGACUAGAGUACUGUAGAGGGGGGUAGAAUUUCAGGUGUAGCGGUGAAAUGCGUAGAGAUCUGAAGGAAUACCGGUGGCGAAGGCGGCCCCCUGGACAGAUACUGACACUCAGAUGCGAAAGCGUGGGGAGCAAACAGGAUUAGAUACCCUGGUAGUCCACGCCGUAAACGAUGUCUACUUGGAGGUUGUGGCCUUGAGCCGUGGCUUUCGGAGCUAACGCGUUAAGUAGACCGCCUGGGGAGUACGGUCGCAAGAUUAAACUCAAAUGAAUUGACGGGGGCCCGCACAAGCGGUGGAGCAUGUGGUUUAAUUCGAUGCAACGCGAAGAACCUUACCUACUCUUGACAUCC